CAGCAGCAUUACCCCUCCCCCUUUCUUACAUGCCACCAACUGUAGGCAACACAUAACUUCACAGCUUCAUCAUUUCCUCUUUGAUGAGUCAGCUCCAUCUCUUGAGUUAACUCCCAUUUCUAAAAGUAGUGUAACAGUGUCUUCAAAUACCUCUUAAAACUGCAGUCUUUGCCAAUGACCCUACACCACGGAUUCCCAUGAAACACCGGAGCACCUAUCUGUUUCAUUCCCUGACAGGCCACAAUGGAUUGGCAGCCUUAUUUCUUCUGAGAAGCACAAAAGCCACAUUGGCUCAAAACAGCUUUUGGUUUUCUGACCCCUAUGGUACCCACUGGGUUUGCUUCACUGGUCAGCAAUUGACAGUUAGACUCAUUUGAGCCUUCAUCCAGCAGCUGAUGGAAGUUGAAGCAGAUACCCACAGCUAAACCUGAACUGAACUGGAAUCCAGUUGAAGAGAAGGAGGAGUGAGAGCAAAGAGUCAAGACCAGGCUGUUGAAACCCACAGAAAUACCGGACCUUAAUAAGGGAGAGAACUUGGCCCCCAGACUGAUCACUGGGAAACCAGCUUUGAACUCAUCCAGAUCCCAUGAAUAUAUAAGACAAGACGUUGGAUGUAACACGUGGUUACGAGAUGAUCUGCCUAGAAAAAGGAUACUUCAAGCUAGGGUAUGGUUACUUGAUGUUCUGAGAUGGGAGGAGGUAAUAACAUUUGUCUG
rnacentral:lncRNA from 1 species